GAAAUCCACUAGGGGCGCCGUCAUCGGCUGAGACAAGAGAUCAUCUUGGACCCUUUGAACCUGAUCUAGUUCAUACUAGCGUAGGAAAGUGGAGCCGGCCCCAA
rnacentral:ncRNA from 2 species